CCUACGGGGGGCAGCAGUGAGGAAUAUUGGUCAAUGGGCGCGAGCCUGAACCAGCCAAGUCGCGUGAGGGAAGACGGUCCUAUGGAUUGUAAACCUCUUUUGUCGGGGAGCAAAAGCCGCGACGCGUGGCGUUCCGAGAGUACCCGAAGAAAAAGCAUCGGCUAACUCCGUGCCAGCAGCCGCGGUAAUACGGAGGAUGCGAGCGUUAUCCGGAUUUAUUGGGUUUAAAGGGUGCGCAGGCGGAAGAUCAAGUCAGCGGUAAAAUUGCGGGGCUCAACCUCGUCGAGCCGUUGAAACUGGUGGGCUUGAGUGGGAGAGAAGUACGCGGAAUGCGUGGUGUAGCGGUGAAAUGCAUAGAUAUCACGCAGAACCCCGAUUGCGAAGGCAGCAUACCGGCGCUCAACUGACGCUGAGGCACGAAAGCGUGGGUAUCGAACAGGAUUAGAUACCCGGGUAGUC
rnacentral:rRNA from 1 species